GUGCUCUCUUCAGCAACACACAAAAUAAAAUUCGAACGAUACAGAGAAGAUUAGCAUGGCCCCUGUGCAAGGAUGACAUGGAAAUCCAUAAAGUGUUCCAUAUUUUU